AGAGUUUGAUCCUGGCUCAGAUUGAACGCUGGCGGCAGGCCUAACACAUGCAAGUCGAGCGGUAGCACAGAGAGCUUGCUCUCGGGUGACGAGCGGCGGACGGGUGAGUAAUGUCUGGGAAACUGCCUGAUGGAGGGGGAUAACUACUGGAAACGGUAGCUAAUACCGCAUAACGUCGCAAGACCAAAGAGGGGGACCUUCGGGCCUCUUGCCAUCAGAUGUGCCCAGAUGGGAUUAGCUAGUAGGUGGGGUAACGGCUCACCUAGGCGACGAUCCCUAGCUGGUCUGAGAGGAUGACCAGCCACACUGGAACUGAGACACGGUCCAGACUCCUACGGGAGGCAGCAGUGGGGAAUAUUGCACAAUGGGCGCAAGCCUGAUGCAGCCAUGCCGCGUGUAUGAAGAAGGCCUUCGGGUUGUAAAGUACUUUCAGCGGGGAGGAAGGUGUUGAGGUUAAUAACCUCAGCAAUUGACGUUACCCGCAGAAGAAGCACCGGCUAACUCCGUGCCAGCAGCCGCGGUAAUACGGAGGGUGCAAGCGUUAAUCGGAAUUACUGGGCGUAAAGCGCACGCAGGCGGUCUGUCAAGUCGGAUGUGAAAUCCCCGGGCUCAACCUGGGAACUGCAUUCGAAACUGGCAGGCUAGAGUCUUGUAGAGGGGGGUAGAAUUCCAGGUGUAGCGGUGAAAUGCGUAGAGAUCUGGAGGAAUACCGGUGGCGAAGGCGGCCCCCUGGACAAAGACUGACGCUCAGGUGCGAAAGCGUGGGGAGCAAACAGGAUUAGAUACCCUGGUAGUCCACGCCGUAAACGAUGUCGACUUGGAGGUUGUGCCCUUGAGGCGUGGCUUCCGGAGCUAACGCGUUAAGUCGACCGCCUGGGGAGUACGGCCGCAAGGUUAAAACUCAAAUGAAUUGACGGGGGCCCGCACAAGCGGUGGAGCAUGUGGUUUAAUUCGAUGCAACGCGAAGAACCUUACCUACUCUUGACAUCCAGAGAACUUUCCAGAGAUGGAUUGGUGCCUUCGGGAACUCUGAGACAGGUGCUGCAUGGCUGUCGUCAGCUCGUGUUGUGAAAUGUUGGGUUAAGUCCCGCAACGAGCGCAACCCUUAUCCUUUGUUGCCAGCGGUUAGGCCGGGAACUCAAAGGAGACUGCCAGUGAUAAACUGGAGGAAGGUGGGGAUGACGUCAAGUCAUCAUGGCCCUUACGAGUAGGGCUACACACGUGCUACAAUGGCGCAUACAAAGAGAAGCGACCUCGCGAGAGCAAGCGGACCUCAUAAAGUGCGUCGUAGUCCGGAUUGGAGUCUGCAACUCGACUCCAUGAAGUCGGAAUCGCUAGUAAUCGUAGAUCAGAAUGCUACGGUGAAUACGUUCCCGGGCCUUGUACACACCGCCCGUCACACCAUGGGAGUGGGUUGCAAAAGAAGUAGGUAGCUUAACCUUCGGGAGGGCGCUUACCACUUUGUGAUUCAUGACUGGGGUGAAGUCGUAACAAGGUAACC
rnacentral:rRNA from 1 species